rnacentral:rRNA from 1 species
UACGGGGGGAGCAAGCGUUGUUCGGAUUUACUGGGCGUAAAGGGCGCGUAGGCGGUCAGCACAAGUCAGUUGUGAAAUCUCCGGGCUUAACUCGGAAAGGUCAACUGAUACUGUGCGACUAGAGUGCGGAAGGGGCAACUGGAAUUCUCGGUGUAGCGGUGAAAUGCGUAGAUAUCGAGAGGAACACCUGCGGCGAAGGCGGGUUGCUGGGACGUUACUGACGCUGAGACGCGAAAGCGUGGGGAGCAAACAGG